AGAGUUUGAUCUGGCUCAGAUUGAACGCUGGCGGCAGGCCUAACACAUGCAAGUCGAACGGUAACAGGAAGAAGCUUGCUUCUUUGCUGACGAGUGGCGGACGGGUGAGUAAUGUCUGGGAAACUGCCUGAUGGAGGGGGAUAACUACUGGAAACGGUAGCUAAUACCGCAUAACGUCGCAAGACCAAAGAGGGGGACCUUCGGGCCUCUUGCCAUCGGAUGUGCCCAGAUGGGAUUAGCUAGUAGGUGGGGUAACGGCUCACCUAGGCGACGAUCCCUAGCUGGUCUGAGAGGAUGACCAGCCACACUGGAACUGAGACACGGUCCAGACUCCUACGGGAGGCAGCAGUGGGGAAUAUUGCACAAUGGGCGCAAGCCUGAUGCAGCCAUGCCGCGUGUAUGAAGAAGGCCUUCGGGUUGUAAAGUACUUUCAGCGGGGAGGAAGGGAGUAAAGUUAAUACCUUUGCUCAUUGACGUUACCCGCAGAAGAAGCACCGGCUAACUCCGUGCCAGCAGCCGCGGUAAUACGGAGGGUGCAAGCGUUAAUCGGAAUUACUGGGCGUAAAGCGCACGCAGGCGGUUUGUUAAGUCAGAUGUGAAAUCCCCGGGCUCAACCUGGGAACUGCAUCUGAUACUGGCAAGCUUGAGUCUCGUAGAGGGGGGUAGAAUUCCAGGUGUAGCGGUGAAAUGCGUAGAGAUCUGGAGGAAUACCGGUGGCGAAGGCGGCCCCCUGGACGAAGACUGACGCUCAGGUGCGAAAGCGUGGGGAGCAAACAGGAUUAGAUACCCUAGUAGUCC
rnacentral:rRNA from 1 species